rnacentral:misc_RNA from 1 species
UUUCCGUAGGUGAACCUGCGGAAGGAUCAUUAAAAAAUUGGACUCCAUUGGUGAGUUCAUUAAUAAUCCUACCCUUUGUGAAUUUGUUUGUUCGAAUAAUUUUUUUUCCAAAAAAAAUUAUUGAAUGUCUUUCCCUGUUUUGGUGGAGCUUGUAAAGUGAAACCAGGCAGGGGAAUGGCAAACAAUAAUUAUUUUUGAAAAAGACCUUUUUUAAAAUUAAACUUUUUGUAUUCAUUUGUCUAAAAUUAUUUUUAUAAUAUAAAAACAACUUUUGGCAAUGGAUCUCUUGGUUCUCGCAACGAUGAAGAACGCAGCAAAAUGCGACAAGUAGUGUGAAUUGCAGAAUACGUGAAUCAUCGAAUCUUCGAACGCAUAUUGCACUUUUUUAGUUUACUAAAAAAGUAUGUCUGUUUGAGUAUCAGUAAAAUAUUCUCAUAAAAAAUUUAUUUUUUAUGGUUAUGAGUGUUUUACAACGAUAACAAGUUGUUUCACUUUAAAUUCUUUGUUAUCAAAAAAAUCAUUAAAAGCUAAUUUUAAAGAUUUUUUAAAAUUGGAUAAAAUUUUCCCGUAAAAAGGAAUAACCUAAACAAUUUUAAAAAAUUAAAAUUGGUUUGAUUUUUCUUGAUUUAAAAAGGAAAAAAAAGUAAAAAUUAACUUGAUCUCAAAUCAGAUAAGAGUACCCGCUGAACUUAAGCAUAUCAAUAAGCGGAGGAAAAGAAACUAACUAGGAUUCCCUCAGUAACGGCGAGUGAAGCGGGAAGAGCUCAAAUUUGAAAUCUUCAAGGUUUUACCUUGACGAAUUGUAGUUUAAAGAAGUGUUUUCUGUUGGAGUUUUGGUAAAAGUUCUUUGGAAAAGGACAUCAUAGAGGGUGAGAAUCCCGUAUUUGACCAUUAUCUCCAGCUUUGUGAUACACUUUCAAAGAGUCGGAUUGUUUGGGAAUGCAGUCCAAAAUGGGUGGUAAAUUUCAUCUAAAGCUAAAUACUGGCGAGAGACCGAUAGCGAACAAGUACCGUGAGGGAAAGAUGAAAAGAACUUUGAAAAGAGAGUUAAACAGUACGUGAAAUUGUCAAAAGGGAAGCGUUUGACACCAGUGUUGUUUUCUCGAAAAUCAAUUAAAAAAGGCCGGAUUUUGUGUUGUAUUGACUUUAUCAGCUUUCUGCACUUUUUUCUUGUCUUUUUUAAUGCACUUUUCGUUUAACAAGUCAACAUCAAUUUCUUUUGUUGUAAAAGGGUCAUUGGAAGGUGGCUUUCUUUUCGGAGAAAGUGUUUAUAGCCUUUGGCCUCUGCAAUCGGAGAGAUUGAGGUCUGCAGCGUAGAUCCUUCGGGGUUAGAUACAUUUGUGCUAAGUUAUAGCCUUUCAUAGACAACUUGUUGACUAUGAUCAGUCAUGUAGCUUACUCGCUUAUGCUACUUUACCUACGCUUAGGAUGUUG